GUCUGCAUGUCGGGCGAGAUCAUGGCCUCCAGGAAGCAGGGAUCCUGUUCUUCUUGGAGGUGAUCUGGUUUCUGAUGCAUUUCCAGGAGACAGAUGUCUUCAUGGAGUCCUCCCAGAGCAAGAGGAAACCUCCAAGACCAUCUAGUCCUGCUACAUUUACCUAGUCCUUUUGAAUGGGGAAAGAGAAAUAGGAUCUCACUGAGUUGCUUAGGACAUCUUUAAGUUGUUGAUUCUGGCUUCGAACUCCCGAUCCUCCUGCCUCAGCCUCCCAAGCAGCUGGGAUCACAGGUGUGUGCCACCAUGCCUGGCUCAACGUCUAAAUUUUUAAGCGCUUCUGUGAAAUGCCUUGCAUCAUUAUCCCCAUUUUGAAGAUGACAUUAUUGAAGCACAAGCUGUUUAAGUGACUUGCCAAAGGUGGAAACAACAGCUCUGAAAUGGUAAUGAUCCCAAGCUUGCAAAACGAGAAUGGGAAGAUUCUCCUGGCCUAGGAUUUCAUGGAAAAGAAAACGGAAGCAAGCCCAGGUGCAGGGCAGAAAAGGGAGCCAGCGGACCCUGGGCCAUACAGCAAAGGAAGCAAAGAGAAUGCACAGGGGACCGAGGUCAACUCCAGGACAGGACAUCUCUCUGCAAGCUGAGGAGCACCCUCCAGUCUCCUGACGCCUCUGUGUGCCCAGCGGAUAUAGCCAUCAAUGGAGCAGAUGAUUCCUCUCCACAAGCCUUACAAUCUGGUGGAGAAGGGUAGAAUCUAAAUAUAUAAAUUAUGUUACACCUAUCUACAUUUAUGAGGAUUAAAGCUAAUAUUUAAAAAAAAUGCUAUCAUGUCAUAAUCACUUUGGAGGAAAAUGAAGAAAAGGGGAACAGGGGGUGCUAGUGUGAGAUGCAAGGUAGGUCUCACUGCAGUGAUAAUGAACAGUGACCCAGAGAGAGUGAGGAAGCCAGUAUUCCAGAAUUGUCAUCCAGACACAUGAACUAGUGUUGACAUUUUGCUAGGGCCCAGCCUAAUAAAAGUCUAAGCAACAUGCUGCUUUUGCAAAGCUGAAUUCUCAAAACAUUAAAAAAUACAUAUACACUUAAGAUGAUCUCCUCCCCAAGAUGAUCUCUUCCUCCAUGAACACCUUAUGUUGUCACCCAAAACAUUGGCUCACUGAGAAACAAACUAGAAGCAUGGCAUUUUAAAGUCAAAACUUUCAUGAUAAUGACUAGAAUUCCAUAUUCUAGACUGUGUAGAGAUGAAAAUUCACUGUCCAUGUAUAAAGUCCAUGUGUACCUGACUAGAGAGACUCCUUCUGAAAUUAGUUCCAGGAAUGAUUAGAAAGCCAGGGUAAUGAAGCUACUGAAACCCAUGGUCCAUGCUGGUGUUAAGACAACAGGAACAGGCAGCCAUGCACUCAGGAGCCUUUGCAGAAUAGAGGUGUCUAACAUUUUUCCCAUGGUGCAGGUCUGGCCCAAGUUCCUGUAACUGAAAUCAUGAGCUUUGAUCAUGACAAUGAUGUUCUAAAAGAUGACAUCCACUACAAACAAUUAUGUUAAACAUUCUGCUAAAAAUUUCUUUUGGGAAAAGAGGGUCAUGUUUGAAUGUAAACUCUGGGAGAACUGAGGUACAAAUAGAAAUUAAGAGCUUCAACUUUGAAGCCAGACUGUUGGGGUUUAAAUCUCAUUUUCUCACUUGGUAGGUAUGUGAUCCUUAAUCUUUUUUACAGUGUGUUUUAGUACCCUAAUCUUUUAAACAAGAUAAUAGUAUCCACCCCUUCAGGUUAUGAUGAGGAUUAAAGCUGAUAUUAAAAAAAAAACACUUAGCAAAUGCAUGGUACAUAUAGUGCACUGUAUAAAUGUUCUUUGAAUAAAAUGGAGUAGAAUUUUCAUUUGAAUUUCCUUUUCACUAUUACUUCCAAAGACUUGCCUCAUCAAGGAAAAAAGAUUUACUCACUUUUUUUUAAAGAUUCUUUUACAUACAAUGUUUAAAACAGAACUCUUA